AUUGAACGCUGGCGGCAUGCCUUACACAUGCAAGUCGAACGGCAGCACGGGUGCUUGCACCUGGUGGCGAGUGGCGAACGGGUGAGUAAUAUAUCGGAACGUACCUUAUUGUGGGGGAUAACGCAGCGAAAGCUGUGCUAAUACCGCAUAAUCCCUAAGGGGGAAAGCGGGGGACCGAAAGACCUCGCGCGAUUAGAGCGGCCGAUGCCUGAUUAGCUUGUUGGUGGGGUAAAAGCCCACCAAGGCGACGAUCAGUAGCUGGUCUGAGAGGACGAUCAGCCGCACUGGGACUGAGACACGGCCCAGACUCCUACGGGAGGAAGCAGUGGGGAAUUUUGGACAAUGGGGGCAACCCUGAUCCAGCAAUGCCGCGUGAGUGAAGAAGGCCUUCGGGUUGUAAAGCUCUUUUGUCAGGGAAGAAACACCGGCUCUAACACAGUCCGGGAAUGACGGUACCUGAAGAAUAAGCACCGGCUAACUACGUGCCAGCCGCCGCGGUAA
rnacentral:rRNA from 1 species